GCCAGAGUGAUGUAGCGGUUUGAGCAUUGGACUCUGACUCUGGAGAUCAGGGUUCAAUUCCCUGCUCAAGCA